UACAGGGGGUGCAAACGUUGCUCGGAAUUAUUGGGCGUAAAGCGCGCGUAGGCGGCUACCUAAGUCGGAUGUGAAAGCCCCUGGCUUAACUGGGGAAGUGCACCCGAAACUGGGUAGCUAGAGUGCAAAAGAGGGUCGCGGAAUUCCCGGUGUAGAGGUGAAAUUCGUAGAUAUUCGCAAGAACACCAGUGGCGAAGGCGGCUUACUGGUCCGGUUCUGACGCUGAGGCGCGAAAGCGUGGGGAGCAAACAGG
rnacentral:rRNA from 1 species